rnacentral:rRNA from 1 species
UUUGCGUGGGGGCACCCUGACCGCAAUGCCGCGUGAGUGAAGAAGGCCUUCGGGUUGUAAAGCUCUUUUGUCAGGGAAGAAACACCGGCUCUAACACAGUCAGGGAAUGACGGUACCUGAAGAAUAAGCACCGGCUAACUACGUGCCAGCAGCCGCGGUAAUACGUAGGGUGCAAGCGUUAAUCGGAAUUACUGGGCGUAAAGCGUGCGCAGGCGGUUAUACAAGACAGGCGUGAAAUCCCCGGGCUUAACCUGGGAAUGGCGCCUGUGACUGUAUAGCUAGAGUGUGUCAGAGGGGGGUAGAAUUCCACGUGUAGCAGUGAAAUGCGUAGAUAUGUGGAGGAAUACCAAUGGCGAAGGCAGCCCCCUGGGAUAACACUGACGCUCAUGCACGAAA